rnacentral:rRNA from 1 species
UACGUAGGGGGCAAGCGUUGUCCGGAAUUAUUGGGCGUAAAGCGCGCGCAGGCGGUUGUUUAAGUCUGGUGUAUAAACCAAGGGCUCAACCUUUGGACGCAUUGGAAACUGGGCAACUGGAGUGUAGGAGAGGAAAGUGGAAUUCCACGUGUAGCGGUGAAAUGCGUAGAGAUGCGGAGGAACACCAGUGGCGAAGGCGACCUGCUGGGCAGUAGCUGACGCUGAGGCGCGACAGCGUGGGGAGCAAACAGG